AGGGAUUUAGCUCAGUGGUAGAGCACUUGCCUAGCAAGCACAAGGCCCUGGGUUCGGUCCCCAGCUCUG
rfam:Rattus norvegicus chromosome 10, whole genome shotgun sequence.